rnacentral:lncRNA from 1 species
CGACCGGUUUGGAAUAGACGUCUUCUUUUGGGUAUCACAUCUUCCUGCAUGUGCUUCUUCUUCUUCUUCUUCUUGCAUUCCUCGACACUUGCAGCCUGUAGAUACCUCUUUGGGUGUUCACCAAACUCUCAUUUAUGGGUUGCCAACACCGAGGUUUACUGCCAUUCCUGUGCCUACCAAGCUUCAAAUGACACGAGCAAGGAGGUAGCUCAGUUCCUUGCCUAAGUUUGCUGGAUUAAUGCUGCUAACUUUAUUCAUCCUAAGCAAAAAAAGCUUCAGUUUUUCUCUCAAAAGUUAUGCAACAGCCACUCAUCCACACGUUGCAUUCAGGGCGACCAAAUCGUGUAUGUAUGGCAGUCAACCCUUCUUUGAGACAUUUUCUCAAGCAGUUCUCCAGCAUGACGCAAGUCGGCCAUUCCGUCUCUUUCGCCCGUGCCAUUCCUCAAAUUGGCCGGUCUAAUCCCCGGUUCACCUGGUCGACCGGUCCGGUUUCCUCAACGUUAACAGCAGUUGCCGGCCAAUAUCCGAUCUUGGCCGUUCCGGCAAGACCGAACAGCCGACCAGUUAACGUAGUCGUCCUCCUUCCCUCCGUCGCGCCGUCUUCCUUUCCAUUCCAUGGUUAGCUUCCGACGCCACGCUGUGAAACUUCUCCUCUCUUCUCGUCUACUACCGUUUCUCGGGCCGCAAAGGACGAUCCUGCGCCACCAAAGCGCUACAACUGCUGCCAUGAUCCCGACGAGCAGCGCUCGCUUCCUGUUCAACGCAACAAUCAGGUCGACUUGGUCUCAUUAACGUCAAAGUUCCAGAUAACAGAGGAUCCCAUCAGUUCGUACCAGUUUGCCUGAUGGCUUGUCCUGUUUUAAUGACUCGGGGGAUAGUUUGGGUGUUGGCAGCAGCAAAAGUUGCAGAAGCUCUGGCAGCAAUGGAUGGGAAGGAGACGGUCAUCACUGGUCCUCAAGCAUGCAAGAAUCAAGAACCACACACCUGAUGAUUCGCGCUGUACGGGCUAUCUCUGCUUCGGAUCAAGCUAAAUCGCAGUGUUUCCAACAAAGCAAUCAGGGUUCUGAAAGCAACAUGUAUGUUACCAGCUUCUUCAGCCAAUCUAAUCAUUUUGGCUUCCUCUCCAUUUACUGAGUCGGACACGAUUUCUUAUCAGGAAAUCAGAGAUCUAUGAUUGCCUUAUUAACAGCAUGAGAAUUUAC